rnacentral:rRNA from 1 species
GAUGAACGCUGGCGGCGUGCCUAAUACAUGCCAGUCGAGCGAACGGACGCCAACCUUGCUUCUCUGAUGUUAGCGGCUGACGCGUGAGUAACACGUGGAUAACCUACCUAUAACACUGGGACAAACUCGGGAAACCGGAGCUAAUACCGGAUAAUAUUUUGAACCGCAUGGUUCAAAAGUGAAAGACGGUCUUGCUGUCAGCUAUAGAUGGCUCCGCGGUGCAUUAGCUAGUUGGUAAGGUAACGGCUUACCAAGGCAACGAUGCAUAGCCGACCUGCGAGGGUGAUCGCGGAGACGUUGAGUCACGCACGUUGGCGAAGGCUACGCGAGCAACGAGUGUGCAAGGUUCCGCAAUGGGCGAAAGCCUGACGGAGCAGCGCCGCGUGACGCAUGAAUGGAUGCGCAUCGUAAAACUCUGUUAUUAGGGAAGAAGGGGGGGGUAAGUAACUGUGCACAUCUUGACGGUACCUAAUCAGAAAGCAACGGCUAACUACGUG